rnacentral:lncRNA from 1 species
AAAAUUCAUGGCAACAAAAUACUACCAACAAAUCACUUUGAACCUCCAUUUUUCUCUAUAGAGAAUAACAGUAAUAUAUAGUCAUAUAUGAUAUAGAUUAGAGGGAGAAGGGGGAACACAUGAAAAGAACCAUUAACGACUCAUUCGUGGAUAACCAAUAAGUCAACGCAUCAUUGAGGAACAAUACAGAUGAACAAUGAUAUACACAAACUCCUUCAUUUUUUGAUGGACAAUAACAACACAUAGUUUCCACAGGAAUAGCAACCAUGAACACUCAUUGUUAACUACCGGCCAAGAACUCCUUCAAUUUUGAAUUAAAAUUUCUUUUUCCUCCAUUAACAUAUAAAUGCGAGACAGAGAGAAAGAAAACAUUAUGAACGAGCUCCUCCAUUUUCAAUUUUUAGAAAAUACAUCCAUUUCCAUUUUUAUCUGAAUACACUCAUUUAAUACUAUCACAACCGCCACAUCUUCAUCUCCUCUUUUGGCCAACGAAAUUAGUUUGACGACCAAAUGACUCCCUCCAACCAACAACCUUCAUUGAUAAUAAUAAUAGCAACGAUAUCCAAUAAUAAUAUAAUCGGUGAAAUCUACUUUCGCCACCAUCCUAUUUUUCUACUCCCUUUCAACUCUCGCUCGUCUUUACCAGUUUCAACUUCGAUCACUACCGCCUCUAUCACUAUUCUGAUAUUGACACGAUUAUCA